rnacentral:misc_RNA from 1 species
GAAAGAGCCUAGCAUUGCCAUACAAAAAAGUCCAAAUAUGACCGUCCUACACCUAUAUAUAAAAUAAUGAAUAAGCUUAGAUGCUAUAUCCCUUCCCCCUCCGAGAGGUCCUUCUUGAAAACUUCCAACAAAUCUUUGCAAGAAUUUCAACCUCUCUUUCCUUUUACAUUGCAAUUUUCAUACUUUAUCCUUUCACUCGUUUGGUGUGGAUUUGCUUUCCUUGAGACAACUUAUUGAGUCAUUUUCUUUGAUGUUUGUUUAAGUGAGGUUAUUAGCCUUAAUCUUGAAAUUAAGGCAACGGCUGAGUGUUCAGAGCUCAAGAAUGGAUUCUCAUGUGGAGAAGGUCUAUGUGAUUCUUGGGAAUGAUUUACAAGACGGAUUCAAGACUCUGGAUUGGGCACUUAGGAAAUGGAAACCCAAUCCAUUCUCUAUAGUCAUUCUUCAUGUGACUUGCAACAUUUCCAAGGACUUCGUUUACACCCCAUUUGGGAAGCUCCCUGCAAAUUCUGUGAGUGAAGAAAAGCUGCUAGUUCUUAGGAAGUAUGAGCAAGAAAAGAUAGAGAAAUUAAUCUCCAAGUACAUAUCUUUCUGUGGGAAGGUAAAGGCUGAAAUCUUGAAAGUAGAAAAAUCUGAUGAACCCAUUCAUAAAGUCAUAGUAGAUUUGAUCUCAAGACUCCAGAUAACCAAAUUGGUCAUGGGAUUAACAUUCAUGAAGUCUUCAUCAUGGAAAUCAAAGAAUGCAAUCAGUGGAUCAUUCUACAUCCACCAGCAUAAACCAAAUUUUUGCGAGUUCUUCAUAAUAUGUGGAGGGAAGUUGGUAUUGCUUAGAGGAGAAAGUGAAGAAGCAAUCAUGGAGGAUGAUCAAGGAGUCAAUGUUGCAAAAAGGGGUAAUAUAAAAACUUGGCUAGGAAAAAUGUUCACAGAAGGAAGAAAUUCUAGCCGCAUGUCUGCCUCAUCAAAAUGCCUAGAAUCAAAAAAUUCACAAAAUCAGUGGGAAAAUUGUGCCUUAGAGAUUCAUAAUUAUUAUGAGCAUUUGUUGUCUUUGAAUUUGGAUGAAGAGAUUUGCGAGGAAGAGAAUGAAAUUUUGCAGGCUGGUCCAUUGGAAGGAGUUGUGCAAGAUCCCACUGAUUCUACCAUGGUAAGCAAAUAUCAGAGAUAUUUUCUGCAGCAUGUGGCCAUAAUUCUCUUCUUUAUUCCAACAAGGAACUGAAUGUGGUCAUAAUCAGCCUUGUCUACUUAGGAAGUAAUGUCUAUGUUAAGCUUAACAAGUCUGCUUUAUUGAAAAUUUUCUUUCUAAUCCUUCUUUUCUAGGUAAAUAAAUGUUCACGUGACAGAUGUUUCUUGAUGUAUGGCCACAAGUAGUUUGGUUUAUUAGACAGUAAUUAUAGGUUUAGGUUCAGCCAGUCCACUUGGCCUACCAAACAUCUUCUUUCUGAUACAUCUUUUUUGACUCUAUGGUCUUGUCAUGAUACCCUUGGAAGUUUCCUGACAGUGAUGGGUUAAUAGAUAGAGGGUUGUUUGGAUGCUUGUUUCUCAAUGAUUAUUAUCAGAAUUAGUCUCUAUUCUGUUCUCGGAUAUGUGCAUUACAACUUGGAUUGUCCUCAAAGAUCAUUUUUAUUUACUAAUAAUUACAAUGGUUUUCUUACUCCUACCAAAAUGUCAGAGUGUGGCUUCGAAAAUGGAAGUCAUGAGGAGUAAAAUAGAUGACGCACAGAAAAUAAUCCAGUUGAAAAAGGAAGAGGCUAAGCUCAAUGCAGAAAGGUCUGCAAAAGCUGAAUGGGUUUUGAGUGUAUGCAAUAGCAGGGUGGAGGAGCUUGAAGCCAAGAUAAGAGAAGAGGUCACGACUCAAAUAGAGAUAAAGAAAUCAUUGGAUAAUGAGAAAGAGCAAAUUCAAGAAAUUAUGAGUGAUAUUGCAGAAAACGAGAAUAGACUAAACUCACUUCUUGAACUCAAAUCAGAGCUCUCCAACAAGCUCCAGUUAUCAACUUUGGCAAGAUCACAUGGAGAAGCUCAACUAGAGAAGGCAGUCCUUGCAAGAGCAGAAAUGGUGAGGGAGAUCGAAGAGCUAAGGCAACAAAGAGACGUUCUUCAACGUAGAAUUGAGUUUUGUAAAGAAAAAGAUGCAAUAGGAAUGGUAACAAAGCAUAACGAGAUAACUUGUGGCUACAGGGAGUAUACUGCAGAGGAUAUUAGAUUAGCAACAGAUGGUUUUUCAGAGAGUCUGAGAUUAAAAUCCAAUGGUGAUUGGACCAAUGUAUAUCGAGGACGUAUUCAUAAUUCAACUGUUGCAAUCAAAAUCCUCAAUUCUGAGACAGGAUUCUCCAGGGAAGAUUUUCUAGACAAGGUUAAGUUCCUGAAUAACAUCAGGCACCCUCAUUUGGUUGCCAUGGUGGGCUUCUGCUCCGAGCAAAAAUGCAUCAUUUUUGAAUACCUGCACAACGGUAGCCUAAGGGAGAUCUUGUUUUCCUCUGAAAGAAACAAUAAGAAAAGAGACCGGGUCCUCAGGUGGCGAGAUCGAAUCCGAAUAGCCCACGAGGUUUGUUCAGGUCUAGCCUUUCUACACUCGGCUAAGCCUAGGCCCAUUGUUCAUGGUCACUUGACCGCAUCCAACAUCCUCCUGGACCGCAAUCUAGUUGCUAAGAUAAGUGGGCUUGGGCUGAGCCAAUGCUACAAUGAAAAUUACGAUAUGCAUCCCGAUAUUCGAGCUUUUGGAGUUCUGUUAUUGCAUCUUCUGACUGGUAGAAAUUGGGCUGGGCCUUUGGAAGAUGCAAAAAUGGAUCGGUCGACCCUUGCUGGGGUUCUGGAUGAGAGGGCAGGACAAUGGCCGUUGGAUUUGGCUGAGGAACUCGUUGGGAUAGCAAUGAAGUGCAUGCCCUGUAACCUUAGGUCUGAUACAGAUUUCAGUAUAGCAACAGUAAUGGAAGAGCUUGAUAGGGCAAGGAAAAGGGCUGAUGAGACAGUUGCUAGAGGUAGAUGUGAGUCUUUUGUUAAAGGAGGUGUUGACAAAGAAGAGUCCAAUGAAGUACCUAGCAUUUUCGUCUGCCCUAUAUUGCAGGUAAGGCUUCAGUUUAAUAAAAAAUAAUUAUUUUUAAAACAAGUAUGACAGGUUCAAGGUUUCCAGAGAACAGACAAUCUGCAGCCCAUUCACCCACUGCAGACAACAAUGAAAACAAUAUUUAGUCCCAACGUUAGAGAUUGGAUGCAUCCAAUACUGAAAGCUUAUUACUAAGCCACAUGCUUGAUGGCGAUAAAAAAUAAUUUGAAAAUCACUUUUGAAAGCACAUUAUACUUCUAUAGUGAUGUUAUGUUGGAUUGUUGGGUGCAGGACGUAAUGAAGAGCCCACAUGUAGCAGCAGAUGGAUUUUCUUACGAGUUAGCAGCAAUAGAGGAAUGGCUGGGGACGGGACACGAUACUUCACCAAUGACAAACUUAAGGCUUAAGCACAAAUUCCUAACCCCUAAUCACACUCUUCGUUCCCUCAUCCAAGAAUGGCACAACAGGAAAUCCAAUGUGACCUCAUGAUAUGAUGACGAUGAUGAUGCAUUUGUUUUGCAGAUUACAAAUCAUAAUAAUUUAUAAUUCUUUGUUUCUUUUCAACAUGCAAGAAAAACAGCAGGGUUUAUAGCUACAAAGCUGUAGUUUGUGCAGGUUCAAGAUUUAUUUUGUAAAAAUUUAUUGAUAUCAACAUAAUUUAACACCCCUUUUAUCAGAAGUUCCUAUACUUAACCAAUUCUCAUUUUCUAAUCAAAGAAAAAACAAAUUUAUUCUGACAAAGUGGAGAGAGAGAGAGAGCUAUGAAGAGAGAGUUCAAGUACUCGGAACGUGUAAUUGUGCUUCUCUAGCAGAAGGUACAAAAACAAGUUCAAUAAUACAACAGAGGCUUUACCCAAAGCCAGAAAUACCUUCUUUUCAAAUAAUCUUUUGACUAUUGACAUAAUAUGAA